rnacentral:rRNA from 1 species
ACGGAGGGAGCUAGCGUUGUUCGGAAUUACUGGGCGUAAAGCGCACGUAGGCGGCUUUGUAAGUCAGGGGUGAAAGCCUGGAGCUCAACUCCAGAACUGCCUUUGAGACUGCAUCGCUUGAAUCCGGGAGAGGUGAGUGGAAUUCCGAGUGUAGAGGUGAAAUUCGUAGAUAUUCGGAAGAACACCAGUGGCGAAGGCGGCUCACUGGACCGGUAUUGACGCUGAGGUGCGAAAGCGUGGGGAGCAAACAGG